AGACCCGAAACCCGGUGAUCUAGCCAUGGGCAGGUUGAAGGUUGGGUAACACUAACUGGAGGACCGAACCGACUAAUGUUGAAAAAUUAGCGGAUGACCUGUGGCUGGGGGUGAAAGGCCAAUCAAACCGGGAGAUAGCUGGUUCUCCCCGAAAGCUAUUUAGGUAGCGCCUCGUGAAUUCAUCUCCGGGGGUAGAGCACUGUUUCGGCUAGGGGGCCAUCCCGGCUUACCAACCCGAUGCAAACUGCGAAUACCGGAGAAUGUUAUCACGGGAGACACACGGCGGGUGCUAACGUCCGUCGUGAAGAGGGAAACAACCCAGACCGCCAGCUAAGGUCCCAAAGUCAUGGUUAAGUGGGAAACGAUGUGGGAAGGCCCAGACAGCCAGGAUGUUGGCUUAGAAGCAGCCAUCAUUUAAAGAAAGCGUAAUAGCUCACUGGUCGAGUCGGCCUGCGCGGAAGAUGUAACGGGGCUAAACCAUGCACCGAAGCUGCGGCAGCGAA
rnacentral:rRNA from 2 species